CACCCAGGUGAAGCGCUUCCUUCUCAGCGUGGAAGCACGCCACAGACUGACAGGUGGAUCUAUUGGCUCGUGCCCCCUUCACCCCCCUCCCAUGAGAAAGGAAGCCGCGCCGUCAGACAGCCCUGAGCGCGUGCGUGGCUUCGUCUACAGAACCUGAAAAACAGGUGCGGCAGGUCACUCCGCACGCAUGUCUGCGCCUGCGGGGGAGGGAAUGUAAGCAGAGGAAAGGUCCGCGCGAGACGGUGAGUGCACGCGCUCCAGCCUCCACGGACGUCUUGGAAACCCCGCGGUUUGGGGGGAGGGGGGUGUCAGCGACCCAGCUGAACGUGGCCCCUGGUGAGGAAGAGGAAGAUUUCCUGUGAGUGUUUGGGACAAAGUUCUGGUGAAGGAACAGAAAGUGGAACGAACACACCUGAACUCUCAGGUGUGUCAGAGAACCAGAACUCUCCUUCCUGAAACAGCUGAGGAGCACUUCAGUUUACCUCCACCUGCCUGAUGUUGUCACUAUUCUGAACAGUGUUGCGUUCAAGAGCGGUUCGAAGACUUCAUUAUCAGUGUCAGCAUGGUGUUGGCCUCGCCCUCCUCGCCGGCGUUCACCUGUGCAGCGGCUUCCGUGCUCACGCUGACGUUACUGCUGCUGCUGUGCAUCAUCCGGAAGAAAAGGAAAAUGGAGGGAACAUACCAGCCAAGCGCGGAGGAGAAGAAGCAGUCGCGGCCGGAGAGGCCGGGCCUACCGCUACCCAAAGAGGAACGGCUGAUCUGAGGACUUCCUGUUACUGAGGGAGGGGCUGCCGGGCUCCAACCUCUAAAUGCUAUAAUGUACAGUAUUUAGUUUAUGAAACUGAGGAUCAUCUGUGAUGGUAUUACAUGUAUGCUGAUGUUCAUGUCAGAUUUGUGAAUGGAAAAAUGUAUACUCAAUAAAAUGUCUUAUAUUCUCUGAAGAUUCUGUUUAUAAACCAGUAAACACUUCCAUAAAACACAAUAUAAAUAUAUGUUUUGUUUUAAUCUCAAACAGAAAAACAAACUGUUAUUAAAUGCUUCACUUAGAUCCAUCCAUCUGUAAGAAGAGUUCUAACUGGAGCCACAUGCUGAAAUGUGCUCGCUCUGAAGUUGAUUAUGUCUGAAGUCUUGAAUGUUAUUCUGCCUCUCUAUACAAAUCUAUCAUAGACAGCUUCAGUACACACUUACUCUAAAGAUAUGUCAUUUUCUGUGUUCGGAGACAUUUACUGCCCUGCACUUUUCAGUGUUCUGCAGAUUACUCUGUGAUCUUACUGUUCUUCCCUGUAAUAAAACAAGACCAAACUGUG